AAGUCAGUAUGUAGCUUUUUAAAGGGGAUCUUUAUGUAUUAGUGGUCUCCUUUCUAUUUAGAUUGGAUACCACUGUUCUAGAAUAUAAUUGCUGUUCCAUAAUUCAGUUGCAUUUAACUCUUUGUGAUUCCAUGGAUUUGUCUGUGGGAUUUUCUUGGCAAAGAUAUGGAGUGAUUUGCCAUUUUUUUUUCUCCAAUGUUUUCCUAUUUUACAGAAAAGGAACUGAAAUUUAAUAGGGCUUAAGUAACUUAAAGCAUUAAAGUCUUAAUAUCUCAAAAAUCAAAGGUUAUAUCAAGACUUUUUUCUGAUCAGAUUAAAGGGAGCAAUCUCACUGGACAAAUAGUACAUUAAAUAGUUUAGCCCAAGGAACAGAGUGGACUUCAGAAAUGGAGUCUGACUGAAAAAUGGAGGAAAUGCUUAGAAGGGGAUUACUCUGCUCAACUCUACCUUUAUCAGUCAUAGCAUCUAGCAUAGAAAUAAGAGAUACUGAACAUUCUGUCAGUUGCAGAGAAUUUCAGGCACAAUUUCAGGGGCAGAAACAUAGUCUUCAGACAAAUGAAGAUACAUUAAUUCCCUCAAGAGAGAAAACAACUUGGAGGUUCCUCCAUGUUAUCAACAAUGUGUCUGAUUCUUCGUCUUCUGCUGCCAUUUAAUAUUAAGUAAGGAUAUUCUGAUUCUUUGAGUUUUAAUCCGUUCUCAUUUGCUUUUAUCAAUUGCCAUGAUUGCAAUUCUUGGGACAUUCUAAACCUCUAUUCUGCAUUCUGAUUUGGUGAUCUGCUACCUCCCCUAGAUUUAUUCUUGGAAGAGCAUUUUUACCAGACUGGUGUGAUGAUCCCUGCCUUACUUCUUCUUGUAUCUAAUGAAUUCUUAGAAUUACAUUUAAAAAAUGGUCUAACCAAUAAUUCAUUAUAAUAAUAACAACUGGCAUUAUAGGUCAAAAUGUCUGCAAUUACAUUCAUACUCAUUCCUGCUUGGGGAAACUCCCUCUAUCAAUGCAAUUUGCCACCUUCUGCAUAACUUCUGAUUCUCAAAAGUCAUCUAGUGCACUGAGAGGUUAUAUGAUUUGUCCAGGAAAACACAACCAGACUCUGUCAGUCAGUCAGUCAGUAUGUUUGGGUAUUUGUGCUGAGCCAACAGUGUAAAUCUUUUUUUUUUUUUUUUUUUGCUAAGGCAAUUGGGGUUAAGUGAUUUGCCCACAGUCACAUAGCUGGGAAGUGUUAAGUCUGAAACCACAUUUGAACUCAGGUCCUCCUGACUUCAGGGCUGGUGCUCUAUUCACUGUGCCACCUAGCUGCUCUCAGUGUAAAUCUUCUUAAUGAAAUCUCUAGGUAAAACACACACACACACACACACACACACACAAAUGCAUGCACACAUACAUCAUUUUUCAUUUUGUUUCCCCUAAAACCUGUUCAGUUUUGUUUGAAAAAAGGAUAAUUGGAUAUUUUAAGCCACUCUAUUAAGGCAACUAAAUGAUAGAAAUAAAUGGAAAUUGUAAUGAUGUUAAUGCUGGUUUUGUUUUUUUGUUUUUUCCAUUACAGAUGGAAGAAAGUGGACUGUGGUCCUAGAUGAACUAAUAUCAACCUCCCAUUCAGUGCCUCAGCUUGCAUUAAAAAAUAUCUUUAAAAAGUGCUCUAUUCUAGUAGGUGCUUUAUAAAUGAAUUACCCUGAAAAAAGGCAAGUGAGUGAGUGUUCCAUGAGCUCCACAAGCUAAUGAUAUGCCAUUAAAUUUUUGUAGUCCUUUAUCACUUAGAAAGCCCCUUCACAUUGAGCAUAUCCCACUACAUCAUCAUCAUCAUCAUAAAGCAAUAUUACUUAAUGGAGAGAGAUAGUCUUAGAGCUAAGAAAACAUGGAUUCAAAUUUCACAGUACCACAGGUAGCAGCUAUGUGAUACUGAGGAGAUUUUCUAACCUUUCAUUACUAAUUCUCUAAGCAUAGCGAGGCAGCAAGGUAGUGCUAUGGAUAGAAUUGGGUUUUGCCUCAGUAAGACCUGUGUUCAAAUUUGAAUUUAUAUACUUACUAACUAUAUAAACAUGGGAAAAUUAUUUAAACUGUUUACCUGAGUUUUCCCAUAACAACACCUAUCUCCCAAGGUUGUUGUGAGUAUCAAAUGAGAUAAUAAAGUGCUUUCCAAACCUUAGAGUGCUAUAUGAAUGAAUACAUUUUGAUGAUGAUGAUGAUGAUGAUGUUGAGUAUAAAUUGAAGAAAAUGUGUUAACUCCUUAUCUGGGAGUUCCUUCUUCCAAUGAAGUCCCAGAUCCCUAAUCAAUUUAAAUUUAAUCUGACUCUAUCCCUAUAUCAUUUAUGUAUUUGUAAAGCACUUAGCACAAUGCCCAAGAUUGUGUAACUGAUCAAUAGUUCAAGCAGGACUCGAUGAAACCAUAUCUUUCAAAUCUUAGUUUGCUGUUUUUCCAAUUACAAUGCAAACUGCAGAGUGACUAUAAUAUUUCCCCCUGUGUAUUCAGAUGAAAUAUUUGCCACCCUAUGAAGCACCAUACAAGUCUUAUCCCCUAGGAAAAUGGGUGGGGGAAGAAAAAAACAAAUCCAGAUUAUUUAAAUCCAGGGCUUUUUUCCUUUCUAAUGCCAGUUUCUUUCUUUCUUUCUUUUUUUUCUCCCACACAGAUCAACAGCUGCUUCUCUGACUGAGGCUUUUUUGACUUAAGAGCUGGAAUCCCUUGUUCUGGGAUAAGAGGAAUGAUCUUUCUCUUUGGAAACUUUUCAAAUCUAAAUUUAUGUCUUUAUAUAUCUAUUUGGCUGUAUUUCAUGAAAGUAUUAGAUUAUUUACUUAUUAAAAAGGUAUUCUCAGUUCCCAAGGAUAUUCUGUUAAGGUGUACAAUGUGGGGAGAAGAACAGCAUUUUUUUUUCUUUCAGAAAUGAACCAAUCAGAUUGUGAUGCUUCUGGCUUAGGACCACACAAAGAUAGAAUCACUGGCUGCCAGAAUGUUCAAAGGAAGCUAAUGAAUGAAGAAAUGGAGGGAAGGAUAGCAUACAGAUCAAAACACAAAAAUUCUAUUCCUCGAUUUAAACUAUACCAUAAAACCUAUACUAUCUUUAUAACAGAACUUCAUAUUUCUAAACUCUUAUGCUUUCCUUCUCUCUCUGUUUCUCUCUCUCUCUUCCUUCCUCCCUCUCUUCCUUCCUUCC